GAUCCUGGCUCAGGAUGAACGCUGGCGGCGUGCCUAACACAUGCAAGUCGAACGGUUAAGGCGGCUUCGGCCGCGUAUAAAGUGGCGAACGGGUGAGUAACGCGUGACCGACCUUCCCCCCGCACCGGGACAACCGCGGGAAACCGCGGCUGAUACCGGGUACUCCGGGGCCCCGCAUGGGGGCCGACGGAAGCUCGGCGGGCGGGGAGUGGGUCGCCGUCCCAUCGAGGUAGUAGGGCGGGACGAACCGGCCCACCUACGCCGACGGACGGGUAGGCCGGGUUGAGACGACCCGG
rnacentral:rRNA from 1 species